rnacentral:RNase_P_RNA from 1 species
GAAGUCAGCCAAACGGUCGCUCAAAACAUUGAGAGGAAAGUCCGGGCUCCAUAGGGCAGAGUGCCAGGUAACUCCUGGGAGAUGUGAGUCUACGGAAAGUGCAACAGAAAGUACACCGCUGUUUGAAUUUUGAGUCAAAAAUCAUGUAGACAUAAAAUGAAAAGCAGUAAGGGUGAAAUGGUACGGUAAGAGCGUACCGCGUUUCUGGAAACAGGAACGGCGAUGGUAAACCCCCACUCGGAGAAAGGCCAAAUAGAAAUUUUUAUCAUGUAGCCCGCGUGUAGAUUUGGGUAGGCUGCUUGAGGUGUGCGGUGACGCACACUCUAGAUAGAUGACUGUUCACGACAGAACCCGGCUUAUCGGCUGGCUUCGCUU